GCAUUGGUGGUUCAGUGGUAGAAUUCUUGCCUCUCAUGCAGGAGACCUGAGUUCGAUUCCCAGCCGGUGCA